GAGUUUGAUCCUGGCUCAGGACGAACGCUGGCGGCGUGCUUAACACAUGCAAGUCGAACGGAAAGGCCCUGCUUUUGUGGGGUGCUCGAGUGGCGAACGGGUGAGUAACACGUGAGUAACCUGCCCUUGACUUUGGAUAACUUCAGGAAACUGGGGCUAAUACCGGAUAGGAGCUCCUGCUGCAUGGUGGGGGUUGGAAAGUUUCGGCGGUUGGGGAUGGACUCGCGGCUUAUCAGCUUGUUGGUGGGGUAGUGGCUUACCAAGGCUUUGACGGGUAGCCGGCCUGAGAGGGUGACCGGCCACAUUGGGACUGAGAUACGGCCCAGACUCCUACGGGAGGCAGCAGUGGGGAAUAUUGCACAAUGGGCGGAAGCCUGAUGCAGCAACGCCGCGUGCGGGAUGACGGCCU
rnacentral:rRNA from 1 species